UACGAGGGAUGCAAGCGUUAAUCGGAUUUACUGGGCGUAAAGAGCUCGUAGGCGGUUGGUCGCGUCUGCUGUGAAAUCCUCAGGCUCAACCUGGGGCGUGCAGUGGGUACGGGCCGACUAGAGUGCGGUAGGGGUGACUGGAAUUCCUGGUGUAGCGGUGGAAUGCGCAGAUAUCAGGAGGAACACCGAUGGCGAAGGCAGGUCACUGGGCCGCAACUGACGCUGAGGAGCGAAAGCAUGGGGAGCGAACAGG
rnacentral:rRNA from 1 species